AUGUACAUUCUUACAAGAUAGCGUUAAUGCACCAGAUCCCAUUAGAACUCCACAUUUAAGCGUGCUUAGGCUAGAGUAGUAUUGGGAUGGGUGACCUCUCGGGAAGCCCUAGUGUUUUACAUG
rfam:Picea glauca, whole genome shotgun sequence.